rnacentral:rRNA from 1 species
AGCAAUCUGACAGUAGAGUGGCGCAAGGGUGCGUAACGCGUAAGUAACUUGCCCCAAGGUAAGGAAUAACGUCGAGAAAUCGGCGCUAAUACCUCAUAAUGCAGCGGAUCCGCAUGGAUAUGUUGUUAAAGGUUUACCGCCUUGGGAUAGGCUUGCGUCUGAUUAGCUAGUUGGUGUGGUAACGGCACACCAAGGCUACGAUCAGUAACUGGUCUGAGAGGAUGAUCAGUCACACUGGAACUGAGACACGGUCCAGACUCCUACGGGAGGCAGCAGUGAGGAAUAUUGGGCAAUGCUCGAAAGAGUAACCCAGCAACGCCGCGUGGAGGAUGAAGGUAUUCUAUAUCGUAAACUCCUGUGAGAGCAGACGAAAGACAGAUUAUUUAAUCUGGAUGACUGUAUGCUCAGAGGAAGCCCCGGCUAACUACGUG